UCCUGUUCUGUAAAAUUGGGACGUGGUUGCUUAGAUGAUUUCACAGGCUGUUAGACGAGGGAAAAGAAAGAUCAUAUGCCCCCUUCGUUUUACAGAUGAACAGAUCUGACUGACACGUCUGGCUCUGCGAGUCUAUGAAUUACCCAAAAUGUCUGUCAUUGACAGAGCUUUCCCCUCAAGGGGGGCCCACACCUUUCUUCUUUCCUACCCGCUUUUUAAAUUCUGUCAUGGAAGUACUACUUCCAAAAGUGGAGUGUGCCUUGUCACUGGAGGAAUCAAACAGCUGCUGAGCAGGCUUUCGGAGCCGUGAUGGCCUUAUCUGGAAAGCAUCCCUCAUUCCAAAGGCUGGCAAUAUAAUACGUCUCUCUCCCUCUCUCUCUGUCCCUCUCUGGGAUGUCCCAAGGAUGCAUGAGUCACUGGCUGCGGAAGAGCUUUGUAAAGCAUACAUCUAUCCUUUCCCGCACUCUUUUCCCCCAGUUAGUUCGCUACUUUCACCUGCCUCAAUCCUAUUCUGGCGCUGCUGUCUCGCAAUAUUAUCUGCUGUUUCUCUUCCAGUGUUUUCUAUCCUAGAGCAAACCCCUUGUCAAUCCUGAAACCCGUCUCACUCGUCCUAACCGAAACCUGACUGCCUUGAAAACGCCAUCCUCCCUUGGCAUCUCUCUGAGGCAGUGAGCAGCUUCCUCCAGAAUCAGCAACAGGACUCUGGAUUUACUCUGCAGUUCAACCUAGAUGUUGACCCCUUCAUACACAAUCAUGUUUUCAUCUGAGACUAUGAAAAUGCUGCUUUGUUCAAACUGCAUCUAAACUCUGCUCAAGAAUUCAAAGACAGGAAGAGAAACAAAUUGCAUGUGACUUAGAUUUCUCAUGAAUUCAGUCAAGCAGAUGGUUCUUUUCCCAUUUGGGGGAAGUAGAGAUAAUGCAGCCUCACCACCUUCUGUGUCUGGAUGUCUCAGCUCAAAAUGGAAGUUCCCAGGAUUAAAAAAUGUUAUCGGCCAAGCGAAGAUCAAAUAUCAACCUCCCUGUUGGCGGUAGAUGGGCAGAAUGCUAUUACUGAACCCAUCAACACAACAUACUGGACAUAUCAAGCAGGGGCAGGCCUCCCAGGAAGGGAUUCAGGCCCACAAAAAAUAACUGAUAUCCACUCUGGGCACCUCCACUUCAAUAUUCACCUUUAAAGGAGGUGCCUGGGCAGAGGUUAAGGAUCCAACUUUUGAUUUCGGCUCAGAACAUGAUCUGGUGCCCCCAUUGGGCUCCAGGCUGGAUAUGGAGCCAGCUUAAGAUUCUCUCUCUCCCUCUGCCCCUCAUCUCUCCCCU